rnacentral:tRNA from 1 species
CGGGAUAGCUCAGUUGGCAGAGCAAAGGACUGAAAAUCCUCGUGUC